GAAGGGGGUUUCAAAAGCACGGUGUGGAGGAAGACUCUUCCAGAGUUGGCACCCAGCGCGGCCUGCCUGGCGCCAGACUCCCCGGGGUCUGAGUGAUGAGUUAUCAGAGAGCUUUCCUGUCUGAAGCCUUUCCCUGUCUCAAGUGAGCGAUUAAGACCCAGAGCUGCGUUCUGCUCUCUAGGAUAACCAAAAGAACAAUAGAACUAUCGUUUGGCUGUCAUAGAUUCAAAGCAAAGGUAUAAAAAUAACCACUGAGACUCAGUAAAAUUCAUAGCAAAAUAAUCAACAUUAGGCGUCAACUGGCAGAUUUCUCCCACUGUGAUUAUAAUGUCAAAGACAGCUGAGCUGGGAUUUUAUACAUUACUGUUAGAAGUUCCACCUAACAAAAAUCCAUACCAGAUUCUAUGUAACCUAAAAUAAGGAAGAGACUUGCAUUUGAAUGGUCUUUCCCACAUAUAAGCUAAAAAGGACUUCGUUUAGUGCGAUCGUCCAAUGGGUGAAGAUAUCUUCUGUGUUAUGGCCUUCGAAUGAGAAGAUCCCAAGAAUCCAUUCCCCUGCUGGUGACAAUCUCCCCUCUUCCUCCCGUCAAAUGUGAAAAGGAGUAAAGAUCCACGGUAGACAGACAGGAGCCCAGCGAAGAAGCGGCAGUGUCCACACGUCACGUUUCACAUGUUCCUAGACGCCUGCCAGAAACUGGCAAUGAAUUUCACGUGCAGUGAGGAGUGACUGAAUUUCAGGAAAAUCUGUAAAUUUGUCCUUAUGUUUUCACUGAGCUUCUCUCAACUGCAGUUUUGAACUUUCUAAUCACUUGAUAAAGCAUUUUAAAAUACCAAAAGUGGUGAAUAGAGUAUGGAAGCGUCUGUAUUGCAGCAUCUGCCAACCACUCACAGAUUUAUUUUGACCAAAAUCGUUGUGGAGAUAAAGCCAACAGAAUGGAAUUAGUCUAAGGGUUAAAUUUGCACCAUGGUAGAGAAGACACCACAGUGUGCGUCAAAUCCAACUGCCCAGGUGGUUUCCUGUUAGAUCUGUGAAGCCCAGGAGACGGAGGGACCCUGCCUGCAGGAACACCCUCGCCAGGCGCCCCUGAAACCAACACAUCAAGCCUUGCAUUUCUCAGGCUUUGCCUUCUUUCUCCUUUUCUGUCCUCUGAGUGACCUACAAGGGCUGUCGCUGUUAAGUAUUCCCGUGAAAGAAAAUGCUCCCUAAGGUUUGAAAUCAACACAGAAAGCAAUCCACUAUUGGGGUAUUUAUAUAUAUAAGCUGUGGAAUUAAAAUUAGC
rnacentral:lncRNA from 1 species